GCCCUAUUUUAUAAAAUUUCCUUAGAGUAUGUGUGCAUCAUUUACUGUACUUUGACACACAUUUGGAUAAGCUCACAGGUUGGUGAGUCACUUUCUGUGCCAUUGCAGACAAUGAAUAGUAGGCUAUCAUUGUGCAAACUCACACCACAAACAUCCCAAUACUGUUUCACUUCCAUUUUGCUUUUAAGGUCUAGUUUUAUUGUAUGUAAUAAUGUAAUAUAAUAUAAUAAUCCUUUUUCCAAACCACUUGACCUAUGUAAGUUUGUAUUAUAAUUGUAUUAUGUAUUGUAGCAUGUAAAUGUAAUAUUUCUUAAUAUACAUUCUUUAUUUAAUUUUUCCUUCCAUAAUGAUUUCUUCUGAAGGAAUGACAACUCCUUUCCCAGUAAGGACCACCAAACAUCUGAGCAGCUUUACCUCCAAUGGGACCAGCUCAUGGAGCACUGAUACCACUGUGUCUACAUCACAAUCUGGUCACUUGCUAGCCAGCACAGUGAAACCAAAUGCCACUCUGACAACCUUACAACCCAGAUACACCAGCCAUCCCACUCCUCUCACUGGCAGCUCUUCUGCUCCACCUGUUGGCAAUGCAUCUACAUUACAUGCAAGCACUGUAAAAUCUAUAGACACCUCUACAGACAGUUUGAGCACAACUCCAGAUCCAGCUACAAGAAGAAGAGAAAGAAUCACCACUGAUAUAACACAGAAAAACAUCACCACUGUUACAGCAACAAAAGCCUCAAAAAGCUCAGCGUAUAUCGCUGUCCCGAUUGUGUUGCUGUUGCUCGGGUCGAAUGUGCUUUAAUACAGAAGACACCAGAACCAAAAAAAGUGAGACACAUCCUCUGUCCUUUUACAUAAUCACAUCCUACACAUUUCUAGUCUAUUUAUUUACAUUUUACUUUUUCUUUUGAGAAUGGAUAUGCCACCUCCAUUGAAACACUUCAGUGAGGAACCAUGAUGUCCCUAUGACGGAUAUUCUAGAAUCUAGUGUAUCAAGCACUUGAGAACCCACAAACCGUGGGCCACAAACAUGCUGACAGGAAGAUUUCUCCCUAAAGGCCAUGGAUUACUCAUCCUCACGAAGUUUCGUUCAUUUUCAAAACACAAAUUGAUAUAUUUUUAAUAAAACCUGAGAAUUUUCCUUCCUGCCUUUGAAAGUCCACGCAACCAAUACUUUGAUGCUUCAAAAAGUUCAUGAAGGUCAUAUGAAUCACCCAGUUUAAUUAAAUUUUAAUGUAAGCUUUUGUUCACAUAUAAACAUUUAUUAGUAGGCCUACAUAAACGACAUCAAAUAUUUUGUAAAAUAUGUUUGUCAUUUUUAUUUUUGUGUGAAUUAACUUUUUACCGUUUUAUUUUGUUAUAUUUUUGGUUAUUAUAAAAUCAUGUUUUAUGUGGUUUGAAGUCCUUUUACUCUGGUCUCUGUAUGAUGAUUUAUUAGUAGGCCUA
rnacentral:lncRNA from 1 species